GGAGGGAUGGCAGAGUGGACGAUUGCGACGGUCUUGAAAACCGUUAACCCUCACGGGUUCGUGGGUUCGAAUCCCACUCCCUCCGCCA
rnacentral:tRNA from 2 species